AGUCGAGCGAAGCACUCUGCUUUGAUUCCUUCGGGAUGAAGAGCAUUGUGACUGAGCGGCGGACGGGUGAGUAACGCGUGGGUAACCUGCCUCAUACAGGGGGAUAACAGUUAGAAAUGGCUGCUAAUACCGCAUAAGACCACAGCACCGCAUGGUGCAGGGGUAAAAACUCCGGUGGUAUGAGAUGGACCCGCGUCUGAUUAGCUAGUUGGUGGGGUAACGGCCUACCAAGGCGACGAUCAGUAGCCGACCUGAGAGGGUGACCGGCCACAUUGGGACUGAGACACGGCCCAAACUCCUACGGGAGGCAGCAGUGGGGAAUAUCGCACAAUGGGGGAAACCCUGAUGCAGCGACGCCGCGUGAGCGAAGAAGUAUUUCGGUAUGUAAAGCUCUAUCAGCAGGGAAGAAAAUGACGGUACCUGACUAAGAGGCCCCGGCUAACUACGUGCCAGCAGCCGCGGUAAUACGUAGGGGGCAAGCGUUAUCCGGAUUUACUGGGUGUAAAGGGAGCGUAGACGGCGAGGCAAGUCUGAUGUGAAAACCCGGGGCUCAACCCCGUGACUGCAUUGGAAACUGUUUUGCUUGAGUGCCGGAGAGGUAAGCGGAAUUCCUAGUGUAGCGGUGAAAUGCGUAGAUAUUAGGAGGAACACC
rnacentral:rRNA from 1 species